GACGAACGCUGGCGGCGUGCCUAAUACAUGCAAGUCGAACGCAGUGGGGACGGGUGAGUAACACGUGGGUAACCUCCCAUCAGAGGGGAUAACACUUGGAAACAGGUGCUAAAACGAUACUGAUGUAUGGACCCGCGGUGCCGUAGCUAGGUGGUUAGGUGACGGCUCACCAAGGCCACGAUGCAUAGACGACGUGAGAUGGUGAUCGGCCAUAUAGGGACUGAGAAACGGCCCAGACUCCUACGGGAGGAAGCAGUAGGGAAUCUUCGGAAAUGGAAGAAAGUCUGACCGAGCAACGCCGCGUGAGUGAAGAAGGUUUUCGGAUCGUAAAACUCUGUUGUUAGAGAAGCGGUAUCUAACCAGAAAGCCACGGCUAACUCCGUGCCAGCAGCCGCGGUAAUAC
rnacentral:rRNA from 1 species